CGGACGGGUGAGUAACGCGUGGGUAACCUGCCUUAUACAGGGGGAUAACAGUCAGAAAUGGCUGCUAAUACCGCAUAAGCGCACAGAGCUGCAUGGCUCGGUGUGAAAAACUCCGGUGGUAUAAGAUGGACCCGCGUUGGAUUGGCUUGUUGGUGGGGUAACGGCCCACCAAGGCGACGAUCCAUAGCCGGCCUGAGAGGGUGAACGGCCACAUUGGGACUGAGACACGGCCCAGACUCCUACGGGAGGCAGCAUGC
rnacentral:rRNA from 1 species